rnacentral:rRNA from 1 species
AUUGAACGCUGGCGGCAGGCUUAACACAUGCAAGUCGAGCGGAGAUGAGGUGCUUGCACCUUAUCUUAGCGGCGGACGGGUGAGUAAUGCUUAGGAAUCUGCCUAUUAGUGGGGGACAACAUUCCGAAAGGAAUGCUAAUACCGCAUACGUCCUACGGGAGAAAGCAGGGGACCUUCGGACCUUGCGCUAAUAGAUGAGCCUAAGUCGGAUUAGCUAGGUGGUGGGGUAAAGGCCUACCAAGGCGACGAUCUGUAGCGGGUCUGAGAGGAUGAUCCGCCACACUGGGACUGAGACACGGCCCAGACUCCUACGGGAGGCAGCAGUGGGGAAUAUUGGACAAUGGGGGGAACCCUGAUCCAGCCAUGCCGCGUGUGUGAAGAAGGCCUUAUGGUUGUAAAGCACUUUAAGCGAGGAGGUGGCUACUGAGACUAAUACCCUUGGAUAGUGGACGUUACUCGCAGAAUAAGCACCGGCUAACUCUGUGCCAGCCGCCGCGGUAACAC